UACGUAGGUCUCAAGCGUUGUUCGGAUUCAUUGGGCGUAAAGGGUGCGUAGGUGGCGUCGUAAGUCAGGUGUGAAAUCUCGGGGCUCAACCCCGAAACUGCACUUGAUACUGCGAUGCUUGAGUAUUGGAGAGGAGAUUGGAAUUUACGGUGUAGCAGUGAAAUGCGUAGAUAUCGUAAGGAAGACCAGUGGCGAAGGCGAAUCUCUGGACGAUUACUGACACUGAGGCACGAAGGCCAGGGGAGCAAACGGG
rnacentral:rRNA from 1 species